CACGUAGGGCGCGAGCGUUGUCCGGAAUUAUUGGGCGUAAAGAGCUCGUAGGCGGCCUGUUGCGUCCGCUGUGAAAGCCCGGGGCUUAACCCCGGGUCGGCAGUGGAUACGGGCAGACUAGAGUGCGGUAGGGGAGACUGGAAUUCCUGGUGUAGCGGUGAAAUGCGCAGAUAUCAGGAGGAACACCGGUGGCGAAGGCGGGUCUCUGGGCCGUAACUGACGCUGAGGAGCGAAAGCGUGGGGAGCGAACAGG
rnacentral:rRNA from 1 species